GGCUAAUACCCCAUACAAUCCUCUCGGAGCAUUCCGAGGGGAUGAAAGUCCCGCAAGGGUCGUUCGAGGAGGAGUUUGCGGCCUAUCAGCUAGUUGGCGGUGUAACGGACCACCAAGGCUAUGACGGGUAGCCGAUCUAAAAGGAUGACCGGCCACAAGGGCACUGAGACACGGGCCCUACUCCUACGGGAGGCAGCAGUGGGGAAUUUUGGACAAUGGACGAAAGUCUGAUCCAGCGACGCCGCGUGAAGGACGAAGGUUUUCGGAUCGUAAACUUCUUUUGCAGGGGACGAAAGGGCGCAAGCCUUUGACAGUACUCUGCGAAUAAGCCACGGCUAACUACGUGCCAGCAGCCGCGGUAAUACGUAGGUGGCGAGCGUUACUCGGAAUUACUAGGCGUAAAGCGUGUGUAGGCGGGAGCUUAAGUCUGCUGUUAAAUCUCAUAGCUCAACUAUGAAAUGCCGGCAGAUACUGGGUUUCUUGAAUUCGGUAGAGGUAACUGGAAUUCCAGGUGUAGCGGUGAAAUGCGUAGAUAUCUGGAAGAACGCCAAAGGCGAAGGCAGGUUACUGGGCCGCAAUUGACGCUGAGACACGAAAGCUAGGGGAGCAAACAGGAUUAGAUACCCUGGUAGUCCUAGCCGUAAACGAUGUAGACCAGGUGUGGGAGGUAUCGACCCCUUCCGCGCCGACGCUAACGCAUUAAGUCUUCCAGCCUGGGGAGUACGGCCGCAAGGCUA
rnacentral:rRNA from 1 species